rnacentral:rRNA from 1 species
AGUAACGCGUGAGGAACCUGCCUCAAAGAGGGGGACAACAGUUGGAAACGACUGCUAAUACCGCAUAAGUCCACGGCUCGGCAUCGAGCAGAGGGAAAAGGAGUGAUCCGCUUUGAGAUGGCCUCGCGUCCGAUUAGCUAGUUGGUGAGGUAAUGGCCCACCAAGGCGACGAUCGGUAGCCGGACUGAGAGGUUGAACGGCCACAUUGGGACUGAGACACGGCCCAG